UACAGAGGUCCCAAGCGUUGUUCGGAUUCAUUGGGCGUAAAGGGUGCGUAGGCGGCGCGGUAAGUCGGGUGUGAAAUCUCGGAGCUUAACUCCGAAACUGCAUUCGAUACUGCCGUGCUUGAGGACUGGAGAGGAGACUGGAAUUUACGGUGUAGCGGUGAAAUUCGUAGAUAUCGAGAGGAACACCGGUGGCGAAGGCGGCCAACUGGACGAGUACUGACGCUGAGACACGAAAGCGUGGGGAGCAAACAGG
rnacentral:rRNA from 1 species